CCUACGGGUGGCAGCAAUUAGGAAUCUUGCGCAAUGGGGGAAACCCUGACGCAGCGACGCCGCGUGCAGGACGAAGGCCUUCGGGUUGUAAAGCUCUUUCGGCAGGAACGAAACGGCGGACUCUAACAUAGUCUGUCAAUGACGGUACCUGAAGAAGAAGCACCGGCUAACUACGUGCCAGCAGCCGCGGUAAUACGUAGGGUGCGAGCGUUAAUCGGAAUUACUGGGCGUAAAGCGUGCGCAGGCGGCUUUGUAAGACGGAUGUGAAAUCCCUGGGCUUAACCUAGGAACGGCGUUCGUGACUGCAAGGCUAGAGUGCGGCAGAGGGGGGUGGAAUUCCUGGUGUAGCAGUGAAAUGCGUAGAGAUCAGGAGGAACACCGAUGGCGAGGGCAGCCCCCUGGGUUGGCACUGACGCUCAUGCACGAAAGCGUGGGGAGCAAACAGGAUUAGAUACCCCUGUAGU
rnacentral:rRNA from 1 species